GGAGGGGCGCGGAGUCUCCCGACCGUGGAGCGACUCCCGGCGGGCCCUUGCUAAGGGGCGGGCUCGGGAUUUUAAAAUGCCAGACACGGACGGAGUUGGCUGAGCGGAGGCGAUGACGCGAUGGUACUCUGUGGCCCUUUGGCCUUUGCAAACUUCUCAGAGAUUCCCGCGGUCUGGGAGGCUGGGACAGGAUCCCUAGGAGAUGGAAGAAACUCCUGGAUGUGAUCUAUGAGACAAAACGUGCUUGGACUUGUAGGUCGUGAAAACUGCCAUCACAAAGAAAGAGCAACACAAACAUUCAGAGUGGCCCCUGUACCUAAUCCUAGAUAAACUUUGCAUUCUAUUAACAGGACCGGCAACACCAGAGAUGACCCCCUCCGACUCCUUUCUUCCAAGGCAUGGGAAGGGAGGAUGAGCCUGAUGUGGGCAGAAUUCAAAUGAGCUGGACAGCACUGUGAACAAGCUACAAGCAGCUCCCAGAGUCUUGAGAUGGCACCAAAAACCAAAAAGGGAUUGAAAGGCUCCAUUGAUGAUGUCCUCGGUGACCUCUUGGGGGAUGAGAUGAUACUACCCGAGGAGCCUGUGAAACUAGCUUCCCGAGCCCGAGAUGCCAUGGCCGUAACCCAGGCGCUCCCUUCUUCAAGGGCUAGAACAAAGUUCCUCCUGGAAGACUGUGCCUUCAGCACCACAGCAGGCCUGACAGGACCUGACGCUGAGAUUUCAGACAUCUCAGACGCAGACCCGCAGGCUCUCCUCCAGACCAUGAAGGAUCUAGACGACAUGGAUGCCGAUCUCUUGGGUCUGAAGAAGUCCGAUCCGGCCUCCAGCAAAAGAGCUGCAAAGGGCUCUGGGAAAGAAGAGUUGCCUAGUCAUCCUAAAUCUGCCGGCCUAUUAACAGCCAGUGAGAAAGGGGACACCGUUCCUGCCAAGAAGUCCCCUCCCUCUCCCAGCAACUCUGGGCAUCAGUACAGGAAGUUUUCCUUCGAAGACUUGGAAGACCCAUUGGCGGGACUUCUCUCCGAUGAUGAGGAAGGAACCACCAAGAAGCCACCCAGGACAGAGAGUAAACUGGCUUCCGAAAAGGGCACAGCGCCAGUCAGAGAUCAAGGUCCUUCUAUUCCUCUAACUCCUGGGGACACCCCGGUCCGAAAGAAAGAAGAAGUGCUAUUUGAUGAGGAGGAUGACAUCAUGGCCACCCUGGGCUUUGCAGACAGCCCCACAGCAGAAAGGAGGCAGAUGGGAGACCAGGAAGGGCCCCGUCCUGCUCGCUCUAGACUGGAUGAGCUGCUGGGUCGGGGGACUGCCACCAAACUCCUGGCUCGCCCGGGCACUGGGGAACACAGGGAGUUCAAGCUGGACAAGAAGUUGCAGAGGCCACAGGACAAAGAAGAUCCCUGGGGUGAUGAGGACUUCACCUUUGGGGCCUAUCAGCCCACUGUGGGCUCCUGCGAGGGCCGGCAGUCCCACCGGCAGUCGGUCAGUAGGUUCUCAGCAGAAGGUGGCGCAGACCCCAAGGGAGAACCAGCCUCCAAAAGGAGCACCCCAGUGGCCGCCAGCCCCACCCACCCCAAGAAGGGAGGAGCUGACUGGCUGGGCCUGAAGGACGAGGACCUGUUUCCUCCCUCCCCCACCAGAGAGGCUCAGAGGGGAGGGGAGGCGCUCUCCACUCCUUCCGCGCCCCCUCCCAGGAGCCAGCACUCUGCCCCAGCUGGACUGCCCACCUCCUCUCCGGGGGCCAAGCCAGCUCCAGAGGGUGCGGGUUUCCCUGCCAAAGCCGGCCAGCCUUCACAGCUGGGAGCAUCUAAGGAGAAAGAGGAAGAGGACUGGCUGAGCUAUGCCUUGUAUCGGAAGAAGUCCCGAGGUCUGGCCCGAGAGGAGCACACCGAGGCCUCCAGAGGCCAGAACUUGGUGGGGGCAGCAGGCAGUCCCCCUUCCAGCAGCCAGCCUGUUGCCGGCACUCAAGGGGUCAAGCAAGCGACUGCUGGAGGGUCCUCAGGAACAGCGGCACACAAGCCACCGGCAGGACCCACCACCUCAGGGUCCCCCGUGACUUGGAACCAGGCUGCCUUGGCCCUCCGUGUCGGUGACCCCCAGAGGGGAACAGCCCGUGGAGACCUCUCCAGCGCCGAGCCUGCAGCCUGCUUCCCCAGCUCCCAGGAGACCACAGGGCCUUCUGUGCCUGUCCAGUCCCUGAUGCCAGAGUCCCUGGCACGGAGCCUGGUACCGGGCACAGAAUACCAGAGGCAGCUCCUGGCCGCACAGGUGCAGCUGCAGAGUGGCACUGCCGAGCUCCAGGCUGACCUUCUGCAGAGUCAGGCCCGGCUGGCAGAGCUGGAGGCCCAGGUGCGGAAGCUGGAGCUGGAGCGGACCCAGCACCAGCUGCUGUUGGAGAGCUUGCAGCAGCGACACCAGGCAGACCUGGAGCUCCUCGAGGGUGCUCACAGAAGCCAUGUAAAGAUGCUAGAAACAUCGUACCAGCAACGGGAAGAGCGGCUGCGGAGGGAGCACGAGGAGCUGUCGGCCCGGUAUCUGUCGCAGUGCCAGGAAGCCGAGCAGGCCCGUGCCGAGCUCACGGCCCAGCACCAGCGGCGUUUGGCGGCCACCGCACAAGAGAAGGACCAGGAGAUGGAGCGGCUCCGGGAGCUGCAGCGGGCCUCCAUCCUGGAGAUGCGCAAGGACCACGAGGAGCAGCUGCAGCGGCUGAAGCUGCUGAAGGACCGGGAGAUUGACGCCGUCACCAGCGCCACCUCCCACACGCGGUCCCUGAAUGGCGUCAUCGAGCAGAUGGAGAAGUUCUCCAGCAGCCUGCACGAGCUGUCCUCCCGCGUGGAGGCCUCGCACCUCAGCACGGCCCAGGAGCGGGAGCUGGGGCUCCGGCAGCGUGACGAGCAGCUCCGAGCGCUGCAGGAGAGACUGGGCCGGCAGCAGCGGGACAUGGAGGAAGAGCGGAGCCGGCUCCAGGAGGUCAUGGGGAAGACGGAGGCGCGCCUGACGGAGCAGAGCCGGCUGCUGGAGCAGGAGCGAUGGCGGGUGAAUGCCGAGCAGUGCAAAGCUGAGUCCACGCAGCGCGCUCUAGAGGAGCAGAGGAAGGUCAUGGUCCAGCAGAUCGCCAUGGAGCGGGAGGAGCUGGAGAAGGCCAAGAGUGCCUUGCUGGAGGAGCAGAAGUCCGUCAUGCACAGGUGUGGGGAGGAGCGGCGGCGCCUAGCGGCCGAGUGGGCCGACUUCUUCGCGCAGCAGAAGCUGAGUAAGGAGCGGGCCGAGCGUGAGGCAGAGAGGGCGCUGCAGGUGGACACCCAGCGGGAGGGCACCCUCAUCAGCCUGGCCAAGGAGCAAGCCGAGCUGAAGAUCAGAGCCAGUGAGCUCCGAGCCAAGGAGGAGCAGCUGGCGGCUGAGAGGGAGGCCCUGGAGCGGGAGCGGCAGGAGCUGCGGCUGGAGAAGGAGAGGGUCAGCGCCGCUGCCCUGCGCACCAGGCUCCGCGCCGAGGAGGUGGAGAGCAUGAGCCAGGUAGCCUCGGAGAAGUUUGAGGAGGGGCAGCGGGCGCUGCGUGAGGCCCGGCAGGUGCAGCAGGAGCAGCAGGCGCGGCUGCAGCUGGUGCAGCGGCAGCAGGAGCGGCUGCGGCAGCAGGAGCGGCACGUGCACGAGGCAAGGCUCCUCCCCGCUCCGGCGGCCCCCACGACCCCCUCUGGUCACCCACCCUCACAGCCACGUCCUUCUCUCUGGGGUCGGGGACAGGAGCACCUGAGUCUAGCCCAGCAGAGGCUGCGGCUGGACCGCAUCCGCCAGGACCUGCCCUCCGGCCCCGCGGCGCUGUUCCCUGGGACCCAGUGCCCGGCAGCGUCCUGCCUGAGCGCCACUGUGGCUCCUGCCCCCACCCCCCUCGGGUGCAGCCGGCCACCCACCGGCCUGGGCCCCUCGCACCUCCACGCCAGGCUCAUGCUGCUGAAACACACAGCUGAGCAGUAACCUUGCGACCGUAAAGAUCGCAGCUAUCACUUACGGAGCACUUCCUGCAAGCCAGGCUCCGUGGGAAAGCUGUAUGUGCAGUUUGGGCCUCUGCCCUCCCCCAGCCCUACGGGCAGGACCGUGACUUCUUGGAGAAUGAACAGUUCUUCCUGGAGACCCUGAAGAAAGCCUCCUACAAUAUGACAUCCCAUUCAGCCUGAAGGCUCCGCUGUCUCCUCAGCAAGGCCUCCAACCCUGGAAGUCUCUCCCACCGCCCCACCGGCUGCCAGCUCUGAGGAGUGGGUGCCCGGGGCCUGAUUACAGCUCUUCCCGGGAACAGGGUGCAAGUGCGUUCUCUCUGAGCCCUCCAGCCAAUGCCUGGAGCCUCUAGGGCUUGAGGGGCAACGGCCUCUGGGAGGUGUGGGGCUGACAGCAGCCCUACGACACCACAUCGCCAGCCGCUGGUUCUCCACCCCCGACCUGCAGCUCGGAUCCGAGGCUCUGACAGGGCCUUGUGGACCUCUCCCUUCCUCAGCAGGCAGGAUACUUUCACCUGGGCGUCGUCUUGAAUGACUCCACGAGCAGCCUCCUGCCCCCUCCGAGAGGUCAGCAGAGCCUGCACGGGCUCUCCUCCCAAACUGGGACACGGGGUCAGAGCGCACGUUCUGAGGGGCCUUCUACCCUCCUGGCAAGGAGGCGGGCGGUAUUGUGGGGACAGGGAGGGUGUCGCCCACCCAGGUCUUGCCUCUCAGUAUGACAGGCUCUCAGCCUCAUUCCCAGCUGCCUGGGGAGCUGACCAGCCUUGCGCAGACACUGGCCUGUCGGCUUCUUCUGAUAGGGCUUCCCAGAGGCAGGACCCAGGUGACGGUGGGGUGGGCUGGGGUGUGGGGAGGGAACAGUAGAGAGGCUUCUCUGUCCUGUUCACCUGCUAUGAAGUCACAGCAGAUGGGAAAGAAGAAAGGGAGCGAGGGUCCCUGCCCUGGGAGGGUAGAGAGCAGUGGGGAGCUGUGCAGGCCCGGACUGGACCCAAGCUGCCCCCCGGGGAAGGCGCCUUGGCACAUUUCCCUGCAGGGGCCUCAGGAGAGGGGUGGAGGCUUGGUAGUUGUCCCAGCAAACCUGAGGAUGGAGGGACUCCACUGACAUGACCACAGUUAUCCUGAAGUGGCUUCCAUCGGCCAGUGACUGGUUACCUUCCAUUAGAGGACAAAGGGCAGAGGAGGACGAGGCGGAGCGGGUACGAGCAGGCGCGUACAAGCUUUCAGAAGGAUCUUCUUCGUGUACCAACAAUUUACAGCCUUCAUCUUGGACCCAUUAAAUUGCUAUAUUCUUAAUGACA